rnacentral:rRNA from 1 species
UACGAAGGGGGCUAGCGUUGUUCGGAAUUACUGGGCGUAAAGGGCGCGUAGGCUGUGCUGUAAGUCAGGCGUGAAAGCCCCGGGCUCAACCUGGGAAUUGCGCUUGAUACUGCGGCGCUGGAAGGUGGGAGAGGAUGGCGGAAUUCCCAGUGUAGAGGUGAAAUUCGUAGAUAUUCGGAGGAACACCAGUGGCGAAGGCGGCUCACUGGCUCGAUACUGACGCUGAGGUGCGAAAGCGUGGGGAGCAAACAGG